ensembl:snRNA U6 U6 spliceosomal RNA
GUGCAAGCUUCAGCAGCACACACACUAAAACUGUAACGAUACAGAAAUUAGCAUAGCCCCUGCGCAAGGAUGACAUGCAAAUUUAUUAAGUGGUCCAUAGUUUU